UGGGGAAUAUUGGACAAUGGGCGGAAGCCUGAUCCAGCAACGCCGCGUGAGGGAUGACGGCCUUCGGGUUGUAAACCUCUUUCAGUACCGACGAAGCGAAAGUGACGGUAGGUACAGAAGAAGGACCGGCCAACUACGUGCCAGCAGCCGCGGUAAUACGUAGGGUCCGAGCGUUGUCCGGAAUUAUUGGGCGUAAAGGGCUCGUAGGCGGUUUGUCGCGUCGGGAGUGAAAACAGCGGGCUUAACUCGUUGCUUGCUUUCGAUACGGGCAGACUAGAGGUAUGCAGGGGAGAAUGGAAUUCCUGGUGUAGCGGUGAAAUGCGCAGAUAUCAGGAGGAACACCGGUGGCGAAGGCGGUUCUCUGGGCAUUACCUGACGCUGAGGAGCGAAAGUGUGGGGAGCGAACAGGAUUAGAUACCCUGGUAGUCCACACCGUAAACGUUGGGCGCUAGGUGUGGGGUCCUUUCCACGGAUUCCGUGCCGUAGCUAACGCAUUAAGCGCCCCGCCUGGGGAGUACGGCCGCAAGGCUAAAACUUAAAUGAAUUGACGGGGUCAUAGC
rnacentral:rRNA from 1 species